CAGUAGCCACGGUAAUACAGAGGGUGCUAGCGUUAAUCGGAUUUACUGGGCGUAAAGCGUGCGUAGGCGGCUUCUUAAGUCGGAUGUGAAAUCCCUGAGCUUAACUUAGGAAUUGCAUUCGAUACUGGGAAGCUAGAGUAUGGGAGAGGAUGGUAGAAUUCCAGGUGUAGCGGUGAAAUGCGUAGAGAUCUGGAGGAAUACCGAUGGCGAAGGCAGCCAUCUGGCCUAAUACUGACGCUGAGGUACGAAAGCAUGGGGAGCAAACAGGAUUAGAUACCCGCGUAGUCCCUGUCUCUUAUAC
rnacentral:rRNA from 1 species